CAAAGGCAAGAGGUUAAUUAUUUAUAUAAAAACCGCCAAAGUGAUUAUAAGGGAGUCUAAUUGUCUUGUGGUGCUGGAUGAUCGGCUUGACCGAUAACCCUAAAGCAAGCAUGUGACACCCACCUGCGAGCAUGCGGGGAUUUUAUCACAGAUUAACCUUCCUUUGGCCUUUUU
rnacentral:other from 1 species